rnacentral:tRNA from 1 species
GGGGUUAUAGCUCUAUGGUAGAGCACUGUUUAGCAUGCAUGAGGCCCUGGGGUUCAAUCCCCAGUAUAUCCC